ensembl:lncRNA
CUAAAUUGACAGCUCGGGAGAAUUUGAGAUAGAAGCUAAAUAUGGUACAUUUGGACACUAUUUUCCUAAGCCUAGAAUGACUGGAAGACUUUAACAAGCAAAUACACUGUGGGUAUGUGGGUACAGUCUUGACUAAUACAGGCCAGAAAGAAAUGAAGGGGAGGAUCUUGUUCCUAAAAGGCACACGAAAAGUCAAUGAACAGACCUUGGGCAAAGAGAAGAUUGCUUGCAGUCAUGUGCGCUACAACAGAAAUGAAAUUGCAGACCAAAAUUCAUCGCCAGUGUGCAAGACAAAGUGUCUAUUUUCUAUUUUGGAAAUUUCAAGGAAGGGAUUAAACAUGCACAAGCACUACUUAGCAACAAAACACUGGGGAACCAUACUGUGUGUACUAUAACUUCAUUUCAUAAGACUAUCAUCACAAACUGCCAGUAUUUCAUCACUGCCAAGAUGUCUUCAGAGAAAGACAGGAGAAGUCAAGGAAGUGGCUCUCAAGACACCCCCAAUAAGCUCUCUGCCAUCACUCAAGCUUCCCACAAGGCAAGUUCACCAUCCCUGAGGAUAAUUAAUAAAUUUACUUCUAGACCAACAACCUUUAAGAAAAAACAUUUGCCUAAUCAAGUCAUAAAGUAGGUUUGUUUUCAAUUUUACACCUUUAAAAGUUCUUACUGUUAAACAAACAAAGAUAUAAAUCAGCAACUGUCUUAUACAAAAGCUGCUUGUCAGUUUGAAACAAUGAUACUUGCAUUUCUGUAUUUGUAGACUAAAUGCUUUUCUAAUCUGAUGCAUAAAUCUAGAUUAAGUGCAUCCAAUAGAACUGAUACAAAUUAUCCAUUGGCCUUUAAUUCUGAUCUCUAAAAUAUAAGUAAUUAACUUGGUAUAAAUAAGAAGUUAUUUACCAGUGAGGAUAGAAGUGAAUAAUUGAUGUACCUGUUCUCUCUUGUACACUGUCUUGGUUCAUG